rnacentral:misc_RNA from 1 species
CCUUCGAGACGUCGCGUGCCGCGCACGCGGCCUUGCCGGCGAGAUCGCCGGGGGCACGUGCGGCCGCAAUCGUCAUCCGCGUAACGGGACAAUGGAUCGGGACGUUCGAGGCGAGACACCCCCACGCCCGUCGCAACUCUUCCGCAUCCGAGAGGGACUAGCACACAACCGCGCACCGUGACAGCCCCGAGAGAAACACGGGGCUUGUCCGGGACGCAAUGAAUGCUUCGGGGUCCCCCUUGCAGCCCU